ACUAAGAUUGUGUUUAAUUGGCGCCCGAGCAGGGACCCCGCGUUUAAAAGUUGAUCAAGUGAAAACGAUAACCGAAAUAUACGCAGUGCCAACAAAACUUCGCUGAGGUCAGACGGGGUUAUAACAAAACUGAUCGCUGCAUUCCUCUAGUAUCCGUUCGGAGGAAAAAUUGGUAAAACAAGUGUCUGGAUUCGGAGCGUUAGUACCUCAACGUGGGAAAAGCGAGUACCCCUACCAACCAACCAAUACAAGCACCGAAAUGAAAAUUAUUCUAAUGUUAAUAUUGAUACCUGUCUGUUGGGGACAUACGACUAUCUUGGAUUACUCAAAAUCGAGAGUAGUAAUGCUGGAAACUGGGAUGGCAGCGAGGCAGAAUGGAACGUUCAAAAUUAUACACGUUGUAGAAGUAGAAAUGUAUCAACAGGCAUUGUAGGUGUUAAAAGAGGUCGUACGAAAUUCAACGAAAACAAACCCGUAUUACCCUUUCCUUAUUUACGAAAUAACCCGAAUUGAAAAUGAGAUCAAAAGAUUAAAGCCUAUAAAGUUCAGAGUUAAACGCUCUCUUGACAUACUUGGAACAGCGUGGAAGUGGCUCGCGGGUACCCCAGAUCACCAGGAUCACAAAAUUGUAAUCGACAAAAUCAAUGAACAGCUCAAAAAUAAUAACAAACAAGUAGUAAUCAAUAAACUAGUAGAAAAUAAGAUAAACGAUUUAAUUAAGAUAACUAACACCUUAUUACAUAAAAGCAAACCAGAAACAGAUGAAAAAGUAAAAGAAAUAGAAGUAACAAAAUUCAAACUGAGUCUCUUAAGAGAAGAAAUCACAAAUAUCAUUUAUGCAAUAGAUUGGGCUAAAGCCAACACAAUAAAUUCCUUGAUCUUAUCACCAGCAGAAAUAAAUAUUAUCGAAACAUAUGCUGAGGAAAGCCUAACGUUUGUAAAUAUCGAAGAGCUUAUAGAAUUUGCUGAAGUAAGUGUCGCUUCAGAUGGCAGAGCUCUUCUUUAUAUUGUCAGCAUACCUAGGGUGAUUAAAGAACAAUGUAAAAAAAUCAUGGCAUUACCCAUAAAAUAUGGAAAAACAAUCGAAAAAAUAGAUUAUAAUCACAUAUUGAAAUGUAAUAAACAAUACUUUG